rnacentral:lncRNA from 10 species
UUAAUUUUAUGAAUUUUAGACUUAGUUGUAUUUCAAACUUUAAGCAGUAAAAAUGCUGUAUCUUAAAAUAGUCUGUACUUUUAUUUUUAAACAUUCCAGUCUAGACAAGACAUGCCUUCAGAGGAUGUUUUAUCUUUACAAGUCUCUCUCGUUAAUCUUGACAUGAAAUGUUACCCUGAUCGUGUGGACUAUAUUGAUAAAGUUCUAGAAACAGCAGCGGAGAUAUUCAAUAAGCUCAACCUUGAACAGUAAGUUACAUUUUUUGUAAAAAUCUUCAUAAAGACAUUUUUGUCUUAGAUUUGCUUUUCUUUCUCAAUUGUUUUUUGAACUGCUGGCAUUUGUCUUGUUUUAAUCAUGCAUUAAGAUUGUCAUGCUGGCCGGGCACGGUGGCUCACGCCUGUAAUCCCAGCACUUUGGGAGGCCGAGGCAGGCGGAUCAGAGGUCAGGAGAUUGAGACCAUCCUGGCUAACAUGGUGAAACCCCGUCUUU